AUACUAUUACGGUUGCAUAGUUAAGCAGAUUGAAUCAUGUAAUUAACCAUUUGCCCUUAUGUAUCU
ensembl:snoRNA